rnacentral:rRNA from 1 species
CAGUAGCCGCGGGAAUACGUAGGGUGCGAGCGUUAAUCGGAAUUACUGGGCGUAAAGCGUGCGCAGGCGGUUAUAUAAGACAGAUGUGAAAUCCCCGGGCUCAACCUGGGACCUGCAUUUGUGACUGUAUAGCUAGAGUACGGUAGAGGGGGAUGGAAUUCCGCGUGUAGCAGUGAAAUGCGUAGAUAUGCGGAGGAACACCGAUGGCGAAGGCAAUCCCCUGGACCUGUACUGACGCUCAUGCACGAAAGCGUGGGGAGCAAACAGGAUUAGAGACCCCCGUAGUCCCUGUCUCUUAUAC